UGGUGCAAAAGUAAUUGCGGUUUUUGCCAUAAAAGUAAUAGCAAAAACUGUGAUUGCUUUUGCAC
rnacentral:miRNA from 1 species